AAAACGACUCUCGGCAACGGAUAUCUCGGCUCUCGCAUCGAUGAAGAACGCAGCGAAAUGCGAUACUUGGUGUGAAUUGCAGGAUCCCGCGAACCAUCGAGUCUUUGAACGCAAGUUGCGCCCUAAGCCUUCCGGACGAGGGCACGUCUGCCUGGGUGUCACUC
rnacentral:rRNA from 1 species